rnacentral:telomerase_RNA from 1 species
UCCGCGGGGUGUCUCUUCUAACCCUAAUUAACGGUCGCCUCCUGUACCCAGUGUUUGCUGUUUUUCCCGGUUCCUGGCUUUCAGCAGAUCACAGGAGGCUGUUGGCAGGCGCGGUAAUGGGGGCAAAAAAGCCAGGAAAUCACCCCGAGGUGCUCAGCUUCCUCCCCGAAACCCCGGGGGUGUUGGCCGUGGUCAGCCUGGCUGCCGCGAAGAGUUGGUCUCUGCUGCUCCGUGGGUUUCUUUCCCAGUGGGGGGAGUCUCUGUCUGAGCAGAUUAAAACUGAGUAAGGUGACCCUGCCGGACCUGCUGUGGUCCGGUGUGGAAACCUGCGCUCAAACACGC